AAAACUUACGAUAAAAAAGUUUAGAUUGAGCGUACGUAGGUGUAACGUAAAUAUAAAAAUAGGAACUGAUUACAGUGAGCAGUUCUGUAGCAACUGUAGGAGAAUGUGUAGAUUAUAAUUCUAACGAAAGACUUUAAAAUUUCAUGCGUGCUCGAUUUGCUCACUGAGUUACUGAAAGAUGCAAGAUAGACACCGACAUCAACAGCAACAGGGACCUGCUAUUUGGCAUGGCGGGCGGCAACCAGAUUCCCCUACUAGUGAAGCUAAGCUAGGUAGCUAGCCUGUUCCCAACUCUUGUAGCACGAGUGGUGAGAAACAUACUUUGCACUGUUAACUCAAGUACUGUGACUGAUAUUCAAUGGAUCUGUAACCUUAUUUUAUUUGAAUUCAAAUAAAUUUUAUUCAUAUGGUUAAUUAUUCAAUUCGAUAUAUCUCUUACAGCGUGGGACCAAAAACAGCACAGGGGGGCCUUGGCUCAGCCUUUUUUCAGCACACCCGUUCGGACCCACCAUUCCAUACGGCUGCACCUCCCCACACCGGCAACGCGUGCUUCCAUGUCACUCUCCCAGCCCCAGCCCCAGU
rnacentral:lncRNA from 1 species